GAUGAAGAACGUAGCGAAAUGCGAUACGUAAUGUGAAUUGCAAAUUCAGUGAAUCAUCGAGUCUUUGAACGCACAUUGCGCCCCCUGGUAUUCCGGGGGGCAUGCCUGUCCGAGCGUCAUUCCUGCCCUCAAGCACGGCUUGUGUGUUGGGCCCCGUCCUCCGAUCCCGGGGGACGGGCCCGAAAGGCAGCGGCGGCACCGCGUCCGGUCCUCGAGCGUAUGGGGCUUUGUCACCCGCUCUGUAGGCCCGGCCGGCGCUUGCCGAUCAACCCAAAUUUUUAUCCAGGUUGACCUCGGAUCAGGUAGGGAUACCCGCUGAACUUAAGCAUAUCAAUAAGCGGAGGA
rnacentral:misc_RNA from 1 species